GUAUAUGUUUAUCAUGUGCGAAUAUGCGUGUGUAGGUUGUUGAAAUUUGUCAUAUUGAUAUUGUCAGUUGUUAUUGUAUGAUGGAGGAGUUAUUUUUAGAA